CAUAUCCGAAUGAAUAUUUUCGGUAAGCCCUGCUCAAUGAGUUUAAUAGCCGCAGUACCCUAACUGUGCUAAGGUAGCAUAAUAAUUUGGCUCUUGAAUGGAGUCUAGAAUGAAUGGGUUAUGUAGUAACUGUUUCAAAGAUAUUAAAAUAAUUUACUAAUAAGGUGAAAAUUCCUUUAUCUGAUAUAAGACGAGAAGACCCUUAUAAUUAUAUUUGUUUUUGUUGGGGCAACAAGAAAGCAACUAAUUCAUUUUCUUAAUUUACUUUCCGGUUAUAGUUAAGUUACCUUGGGGAUAACAGCGUGAUAAUUAGAUUACGACCUCGAUGUUGGACUAGGAUAAUGAGGCUAGUAGCCAUAAUAGUUCUGUUCGAACCCUACGUGAUCU
rnacentral:rRNA from 1 species